rnacentral:rRNA from 1 species
UGGAGCGUAGCCUGAUCCAGCCAUGCCGCGUGGUGUGAAGAAGGUCUUUCGGAUUGUAAAGCACUUUAAGUUGGGAGGAAGGGCAUUAACCUAAUACGUUAGUGUUUUGACGUUACCGACAGAAUAAGCACCGGCUAACUCUGUGCCAGCAGCCGCGGUAA